CUUUGGCUUCAAUUACGCUUGUGAAAGAGUAACCACUUCUCUCUAAACUACAAAAAGAAGGUUUAUAUUUCAGUAAGCAUUGUUAAUGAAGUCUCUUCAGAAUGGGCAAAGCAGCUUCAUGAAGUCAUCAAAGACUCAGAUUUGUUGUUCACCAUUCUCAACACAUGGCUCUCACCUCAUGGUACAAGAUGACUGCUUGGGUUCCAGCCAUUACAGUUACACAAAGGAUGAAGAAACCGGCCACCAUGCUGAGAGAAACCCAGGCCACAUGGAAAGGCCACGUGUGGGCACUUUGGUCAACAGGCCCAGCUGAGCCAAGCCUUUGAGUCAUCGCAGCCCAGGCGCCAGACUUGUGAGUGAAGGAGGCUCCAGAUGAUUCUAACCCUCAGCUCCUGAGUCACCGCCAACUGCUGGAGUCUUCCCAGCUGAGGCCGCAGACAUCACGGAGCAGAGAAAACACGAGUCAUCCCAGCUAUGUCCUGUCCAAAUUCCUGGCCUACACAAUCGGAAUGGAAUGGAAUGGAAGCUUCUUCAUUUAAAUUCUGCACAGGAUGUGUAUUACGGAUUCAUGUUAGUAUAGGUGAGGACGUGAAGCCAUUGCUACUGAGCCUCAGAUGUGGCAGCAAAGAAUUAAGAGAUCAUCACCAUCUCUCUCUCAAUGUAAUGAAAAUCUAACUUCACAACACUCCUCUUAAUCGAGCUUUCCUCAUGCUACUUGGCUAUGCAUUAAAUCUUGGCAUACACAAAAAAUAAAAAC
rnacentral:lncRNA from 1 species